rnacentral:rRNA from 1 species
UACGUAGGUGGCAAGCGUUGUCCGGAUUUACUGGGCGUAAAGAGCGCGCAGGCGGUCGUUCAAGUCGAGUGUGAAAGCCCCCGGCUCAACUGGGGAGGGUCACUCGAUACUGAUCGACUCGAAGGCAGGAGAGGGAAGCGGAAUUCCCGGUGUAGUGGUGAAAUGCGUAGAUAUCGGGGAGAACACCAGUGGCGAAGGCGGCUUUCUGGCCUGCUCUUGACGCUGAGGCGCGAAAGCUAGGGUAGCAAACGGG